rnacentral:rRNA from 1 species
AAGGAACUAAAUAGGAUUCCCUUAGUAAUGGCGAACGAAGGGGGAACAGCUUGGGUUGGAAACUAAGGCUUCGGUCUUGGGUUGUGACCUGCAGACACAGCACCAACAGCGGCGCAAGCGUAAGCCUCUUGGAAAAGAGCAUUCACUCGGGUGAGAAUCCUGUGCGUCGCUUGACGUCCGCUGCGUACGGUGCGUGCUCUUAAAGUCACGCUCCUUGGAAUUGGAGCGUAAAUUAGGUGGUAAAUUUCAUCUACAGCGAAAUAUAAGCUCGAGACCGAUAGCAAACAAGUACCAUGAGGGAAAGAUGAAAAGGACUUUGGAAAGAGAGUUAAAAGUGCUUGAAAUCGCUGAAGGGGAAGCGAAUGGAACCAAGACCCUGGCUGAGACUGCUGCGAGUUUUCACUAGCCUUGUGUGUGAAUGCGUAAGCUUUUCGCACAUACGUGAAGGAAUGCUCGCGGUGUUUCUCAGCUUGCUCGUCAGCUGCAACGCUCGCUUGAGGAUGGCCCUUGUCGCGCGCGGCUCUUCUGCGGAAUUGCUUCGGCGCCUCUGGGGAUUCAGGCGAGCGUGUCUUGCUGAUUAAAUGGUUCUCUUCGACCCG